GCCAACGUUCAUAUCACGUUGAAUACACCAGUUCUCGUCCGAUCACUGAAGUUGAGCGUGGAUAGUACUUGGAUGGGUGACCGCUUGGGAACACCACGUAACGUUGGCU
rnacentral:rRNA from 1 species